GAGGGCAUAGCUCAGUGGUAGAGUAUGUACUUAGCAUGCACGAGGUCCUGGGUUCAAUCCUCAAUACCUCCA
rnacentral:tRNA from 1 species